AGUGAACGCUGGCGGUAGGCCUAACACAUGCAAGUCGAACGGCAGCACAGUAAGAGCUUGCUCUUACGGGUGGCGAGUGGCGGACGGGUGAGGAAUACAUCGGAAUCUACUUUUUCGUGGGGGAUAACGUAGGGAAACUUACGCUAAUACCGCAUACGACCUACGGGUGAAAGCAGGGGAUCUUCGGACCUUGCGCGAUUGAAUGAGCCGAUGUCGGAUUAGCUAGUUGGCGGGGUAAAGGCCCACCAAGGCGACGAUCCGUAGCUGGUCUGAGAGGAUGAUCAGCCACACUGGGACUGAGACACGGUCCAGACUCCUACGGGAGGCAGCAGUGGGGAAUAUUGGACAAUGGGCGCAAGCCUGAUCCAGCCAUACCGCGUGGGUGAAGAAGGCCUUCGGGUUGUAAAGCCCUUCUGUUGGGAAAGAAAAGCAGCAGGUUAAUACCCCGCUGUCCUGACGGUACCCAAAGAAUAAGCACCGGCUAACUUCGUG
rnacentral:rRNA from 1 species